UAUGGUGAGAGUAUUAGUAGAAUGUUGAACCGGGAGUAACUGUUAUAGCGUUUUUCUGUUGCUUGUGAGGGUCGGGAUAGUUUAUAUUUUUACAGGUGUAUUUUUAUAGUUAGUGCAAUUUAUCAAGCUUAUUUAUUAUAUAAAAAAUAUGUCAUGUGAUGCUUUCAAAAGCAUCAUAUCAGAAUUUUUUGAGUAUGAUACAACGAAAAUUGUUCACAUCAAAAGUAAGAAAGCUGGCAUUUUGAAUAGAAUCGUGCAGUUGAUCAUAAUAGCCUAUAUUGUUUGUUUUGCUGUUAUCUACAAGAAAGGUUAUCAAGAUUUCAGUACUCUAGAAAGUUCUGUCACCACCAAGGUCAAGGGAGUAGCUUACACAAACUUUUCAAAUGACAAGUUUAACCCAAAGAUUAAGAACUUUGAUGAUUACAGAAGAGUAUGGGAUGUAUCGGAUUAUGUCAUCCCUUCUUCGGAAAAUGGAGCUUUCUUUGUCACUACCAAUGUUGUUGUUACACCCAACCAGACUCAAUUUCACUGCCCUGAGGACCCAUCUGUACCUGGUGCUUUAUGUGAUCCAAAAAAUAACACUUGUGUAGCUGGUACACCUCUUCUCUUGGGAAAUGGUGUGAUGACAGGGAACUGUGUUGCUUCACUUGUAAACUCAACUGCAUACGUUUGUGAAAUCAAUGCAUGGUGUCCAGUGGAACAAGAUAUCAACCCAUUAAAAAACAAUACAGCGUUACUUGCUGCUACCAAGAAUUUUACCGUUUUAAUCAAGAAUUUUGUUGAAUUUCCAAAAUUUAACAUCCGAAGGAGCAAUAUUCUGGACACAACUAACACAACUUAUCUGUCUGGUUGUCACUAUCAUUCCAACACUGAUCCUGCUUGUCCAAUAUUUGUUUUAGGAGAUAUUAUAGCAGAAGCUGGAGAGAACUAUGAUAUCAUGGCUGUAAAGGGUGGUGUGAUUGCCAUAAUUAUAGAAUGGGACUGCAAUAUUGAUUUUGAUAUACGAUAUUGCAUUCCAAUAUAUUCCUUUAGAAGAUUAGAUGAUCCAGAAGCUAAAAUUGCAAAAGGCUGGAAUUUCAGGUAUUCCAACUAUUAUGAUGAUAACUCUAGAACUCUCUAUAAAGUCUAUGGGAUUAAAUAUGAUGUAAUUGUACAUGGACGAGCAGGAAAGUUUAAUGUGGUGCCUUUGAUGAUUAACAUUGGAUCUGGUUUGGGACUUUUGGCUGUGGCUUCAGUAAUAGGUGAUAUUAUUGUGCUUUAUCUACUGAAAAAAAGGGACUAUUAUCGAAGUAAGAAGUAUUUACAAGUUACAACUGAAGGAGAUGCAUUCGAUCCCGAGGCAUUUAUGCCUAGUGUCAGGAGAAGAAAACCUGAGAGUUCCACAUACAGUGAUCUUGACAGUGUUCAGGAUAAUUAAUCACCAUUCCAUGUUAACUUGCAAACAUACUGUGGAAGUACUACCAGUUUUAAGUAUAUGAGAUGCGGAAUAGCUUUGGUUGUUGCAGAAUAUUAUGUAUUGAUUGGAUUUAAAGUUGUCACAAUUACUUACAUUGUUAUUUGAAUUACAAUAUUAUGUGCAUGGAAUUAUAUUUGGUAACUUAAGAAGUACAGUAAACAAUGUUUCUUGAUUUUGUUAAAUUUCUUUUAUUGUUACA
rnacentral:misc_RNA from 1 species